ACCGGGCGUUAAGUUGCAGGGUAUAGACCCGAAACCCGGUGAUCUAGCCAUGGGCAGGUUGAAGGUUGGGUAACACUAACUGGAGGACCGAACCGACUAAUGUUGAAAAAUUAGCGGAUGACUUGUGGCUGGGGGUGAAAGGCCAAUCAAACCGGGAGAUAGCUGGUUCUCCCCGAAAGCUAUUUAGGUAGCGCCUCGUGAAUUCAUCUCCGGGGGUAGAGCACUGUUUCGGCAAGGGGGUCAUCCCGACUUACCAACCCGAUGCAAACUGCGAAUACCGGAGAAUGUUAUCACGGGAGACACACGGCGGGUGCUAACGUCCGUCGUGAAGAGGGAAACAACCCAGACCGCCAGCUAAGGUCCCAAAGUCAUGGUUAAGUGGGAAACGAUGUGGGAAGGCCCAGACAGCCAGGAUGUUGGCUUAGAAGCAGCCAUCAUUUAAAGAAAGCGUAAUAGCUCACUGGUCGAGUCGGCCUGCGCGGAAGAUGUAACGGGGCUAAACCAUGCACCGAAGCUGCGGCAGCGACACUGUGUGUUGUUGGGUAGGGGAGCGUUCUGUAAGCCUGUGAAGGUGUACUGUAAGGUAUGCUGGAGGUAUCAGAAGUGCGAAUGCUGACAUAAGUAACGAUAAAGCGGGUGAAAAGCCCGCUCGCCGGAAGACCAAGGGUUCCUGUCCAACGUUAAUCGGGGCAGGGUGAGUCGACCCCUAAGGCGAGGCCGAAAGGCGUAGUCGAUGGGAAACAGGUUAAUAUUCCUGUACUUGGUGUUACUGCGAAGGGGGGACGGAGAAGGCUAUGUUGGCCGGGCGACGGUUGUCCCGGUUUAAGCGUGUAGGCUGGUUUUCCAGGCAAAUCCGGAAAAUCAAGGCUGAGGCGUGAUGACGAGGCACUACGGUGCUGAAGCAACAAAUGCCCUGCUUCCAGGAAAAGCCUCUAAGCAUCAGGUAACAUCAAAUCGUACCCCAAACCGACACAGGUGGUCAGGUAGAGAAUACCAAGGCGCUUGAGAGAACUCGGGUGAAGGAACUAGGCAAAAUGGUGCCGUAACUUCGGGAGAAGGCACGCUGAUAUGUAGGUGAAGUCCCUCGCGGAUGGAGCUGAAAUCAGUCGAAGAUACCAGCUGGCUGCAACUGUUUAUUAAAAACACAGCACUGUGCAAACACGAAAGUGGACGUAUACGGUGUGACGCCUGCCCGGUGCCGGAAGGUUAAUUGAUGGGGUCAGCGCAAGCGAAGCUCUUGAUCGAAGCCCCGGUAAACGGCGGCCGUAACUAUAACGGUCCUAAGGUAGCGAAAUUCCUUGUCGGGUAAGUUCCGACCUGCACGAAUGGCGUAAUGAUGGCCAGGCUGUCUCCACCCGAGACUCAGUGAAAUUGAACUCGCUGUGAAGAUGCAGUGUACCCGCGGCAAGACGGAAAGACCCCGUGAACCUUUACUAUAGCUUGACACUGAACAUUGAGCCUUGAUGUGUAGGAUAGGUGGGAGGCUUUGAAGUGUGGACGCCAGUCUGCAUGGAGCCGACCUUGAAAUACCACCCUUUAAUGUUUGAUGUUCUAACGUGGACCCGUGAUCCGGGUUGCGGACAGUGUCUGGUGGGUAGUUUGACUGGGGCGGUCUCCUCCUAAAGAGUAACGGAGGAGCACGAAGGUUGGCUAAUCCUGGUCGGACAUCAGGAGGUUAGUGCAAUGGCAUAAGCCAGCUUGACUGCGAGCGUGACGGCGCGAGCAGGUGCGAAAGCAGGUCAUAGUGAUCCGGUGGUUCUGAAUGGAAGGGCCAUCGCUCAACGGAUAAAAGGUACUCCGGGGAUAACAGGCUGAUACCGCCCAAGAGUUCAUAUCGACGGCGGUGUUUGGCACCUCGAUGUCGGCUCAUCACAUCCUGGGGCUGAAGUAGGUCCCAAGGGUAUGGCUGUUCGCCAUUUAAAGUGGUACGCGAGCUGGGUUUAGAACGUCGUGAGACAGUUCGGUCCCUAUCUGCCGUGGGCGCUGGAGAACUGAGGGGGGCUGCUCCUAGUACGAGAGGACCGGAGUGGACGCAUCACUGGUGUUCGGGUUGUCAUGCCAAUGGCACUGCCCGGUAGCUAAAUGCGGAAGAGAUAAGUGCUGAAAGCAUCUAAGCACGAAACUUGCCCCGAGAUGAGUUCUCCCUGACCCUUUAAGGGUCCUGAAGGAACGUUGAAGACGACGACGUUGAUAGGCCGGGUGUGUAAGCGCAGCGAUGCGUUGAGCUAACCGGUACUAAUGAACCGUGAGGCUUAACCUUACAACGCCGAAGGUGUUU
rnacentral:rRNA from 1 species